rnacentral:rRNA from 1 species
UCUUCUUCUUGAUAUAGUUUUCUUGUUUAUUUUUUUUUUCUCAGGUUUAGUUACCUUUUGCAUCAUGAUUUGUUGAUUAUCUUCCAUUAUUAUGGAUGAAUCCGAAGGGUGACGAUUUUUAGGGUGCUUGCUUGAUUAAGAGCUUAGCGUUUCACAGGUAGUGGAUUGUUAGAGUGCUUUAAGGUAGUGAUAAAUUAUUCGUGUUUCCUUAUAUCUGAUUGGGUAAUUUAUAUUUCGUGUUAUACUGGCUGUUAUGAGAUUGUUAGUAUGAGAAGAGACUUUUUAUGUUUAUUUAUAUUCUGGGUUUAAAGGUUUCCUUGAUUUAUGAGUUUGUUAAAAAAAUUGUUUUAAGUUUUAUUGUCUUUUAGUUUGUGUUUCCCUACUUUAAUUUUUUUUUAUAAUGAUGGAAUAAGUAAAAUUUAUAUUGGCCUCUUUUUUUCUCGAUAGGUGUCGGUCUGUUUAUUAAAAACAUUUCCAUUUUUAAGUUUAGAUGGUAGUUACCUGCUCUAUGUAUAUUUUAUUAAUGGCCGCAGUAUUUUGACUGUGCUAAGGUAGCAUAAUUAGUUGCCUCAUAAUUGGAGGAUUGUUUGAAUGGUUUGACUAGAUAUUUGUUAAGAUGGGGGUUUAAAUAGAAAUUGGUUGUGAGGUGCAGAACCCUCGAUUAUAAAAUAAGACGGAAAGACCCCGAGAUCUUUAUACUUUGGUGUUUAUUUGGGGUAAAGGUAAAUUAUUUAUUUGCUUUAUGAUCCUUAAAGUGUUAGGAUUGAAGGUUUAGUUACCUCGGGGAUAACUGUGUAAGAAAUAGUUAGAGAUCUUAUCGAUUUAUUUAUUUGCCACCUCGAUGUUGACUUAGGGGGUUUCGCAGGCGCAGUAGUUUGUGUAAAAGGUCUGUUCGACCUAUAAUUCUCUUCAUGAGUUGAGUUAAGACCGGCGUGAGCCAGGUCGGUUCUUAUCUAUUUUUCAGUUUAUUUAGUACGAAAGGAAUAAUAUUCUUUUAUGUUGGGCGUGUUCUAUAUUUAUAGGUUUACUCUGCAGAGGUAAU